CCCCAUUAUAACCAUCGGCAUAAACACAUCACUGCCUGCAGACCUAGUCAUGUCCAACCUCUCCUUCAUCGGCAACCAUCUUCAUCGGCAAUUCAUCCUGUAAACAACACACUGCCACCUUAUCCUGCCAUUCUGGACGCGUGUCCAAAAACGGUGUCAACAGGAGCAUGAUCCGCGAAGUUGAAGCUGAUUGGUUACUGUAGCUGGGCGGGCACCCAAGGGACUUGGGCGGGCGCCCUGCCCCCGGGCC
rnacentral:lncRNA from 1 species